rnacentral:lncRNA from 1 species
CCCUCUGGACUUCCCUAGGUCCCGUGGUUCCCUCUUCUGUGAUCUCCCUCUUGCCCUACUGUUCCCUCUAACCCUGAGGUUAAGGAUUCACUUAAAACCUUGGCCUCUGGGU